CGCGCAGGUGGUUGAUUAAGUCUGAUGCGAAAGCCCACGGCUUAACCGUGGAGGGUCAUUGGAAACUGGUCGACUUGAGUGCAGAAGAGGGAAGUGGAAUUCCAUGUGUAGCGGUGAAAUGCGUAGAGAUAUGGAGGAACACCAGUGGCGAAGGCGGCUUCCUGGUCUGUAACUGACACUGAGGCGCGAAAGCGUGGGAGCAAACA
rnacentral:rRNA from 1 species